rnacentral:rRNA from 1 species
UGCGUAGGCGGCGGGGUAAGUUUGAUGUGAAAUCCCGGGGCUCAACCCUGGAAUUGCAUUGAAUACUACCUUGCUAGAGUACCGGAGAGGAAACUGGAAUUUACGGUGUAGCAGUGAAAUGCGUAGAGAUCGUAAGGAAGACCAGUGGCGAAGGCGAGUUUCUGGACGGUAACUGACGCUGAGGCACGAAGGCCAGGGGAGGCAAACGG